CCCGGGGCUAGAGUUACAUCUUGACAGCUAUUGUCCCGGUGUGCUAGAGUUCUCAGAGAAUCUGCUGGUCUUGAUUCACUAACUGAGGGUCGCCAGUGCCCACCCCCCGCAGUGCCCAGAUCAGAAACAUAG